rnacentral:rRNA from 1 species
CAUGGCUCAGGAUGAACGCUGGCGGCGUGCUUAACACAUGCAAGUCGAACGGAGUUAUCAAUGAAACCUAGUGAUUUGAUAACUUAGUGGCGGACGGGUGAGUAACGCGUGGGUAACCUGCCUUAUCCGGGGGGAUAACAGUUAGAAAUGACUGCUAAUACCGCAUAAGCGCACAGAAUCGCAUGAUUCCGUGUGAAAAGAUUUAUCGGGAUAAGAUGGACCCGCGUCUGAUUAGCUAGUUGGCGAGGUAACGGCCCACCAAGGCGACGAUCAGUAGCCGGCCUGAGAGGGUGAACGGCCACAUUGGGACUGAGACACGGCCCAAACUCCUACGGGAGGCAGCAGUGGGGAAUAUUGCACAAUGGGGGAAACCCUGAUGCAAGCGACGCCGCGUGAGUGAAGAAGUAUUUCGGUAUGUAAAGCUCUAUCAGCAGGGAAGAAAAUGACGGUACCUGACUAAGAAGCCCCGGCUAACUACGUGCCAGCAGCGGC